rnacentral:rRNA from 1 species
AGGGAUCAUUACCGAGUUUACAACUCCCAAACCCCUGUGAACAUACCUUAAUGUUGCCUCGGCGGAUCAGCCCGCGCCCCGUAAAACGGGACGGCCCGCCAGAGGACCCAAACUCUAAUGUUUCUUAUUGUAACUUCUGAGUAAAACAAACAAAUAAAUCAAAACUUUCAACAACGGAUCUCUUGGUUCUGGCAUCGAUGAAGAACGCAGCAAAAUGCGAUAAGUAAUGUGAAUUGCAGAAUUCAGUGAAUCAUCGAAUCUUUGAACGCACAUUGCGCCCGCUGGUAUUCCGGCGGGCAUGCCUGUUCGAGCGUCAUUUCAACCCUCAAGCCCCCGGGUUUGGUGUUGGGGAUCGGCUCUGCCUCACGGCGGUGCCGCCCCCGAAAUACAUUGGCGGUCUCGCUGCAGCCUCCAUUGCGUAGUAGCUAACACCUCGCAACUGGAACGCGGCGCGGCCAUGCCGUAAAACCCCAACUUCUGAAUGUUGACCUCGGAUCAGGUAGGAAUACCCGCUGAACUUAA